rnacentral:lncRNA from 1 species
UGUUUCCCGGAUAUUCACACUUAAAAACUGUACAUGAUGAUGCCUACCUUCCUCCUCAGUCUUUUAUAGUGUCCGAUAGGCCUAGAGAAUCACAAAAGGCUACAAGUCACAUCAUGGGUCCCAUCUUUCUUAUGAUAUUCACAGUAACAGCAGGUGUACUGGCCAUCUCAGAGGAAAU